UACGUAGGGUCCGAGCGUUUGUCCGGAAGUUACUGGGCGUAAAGAGCUCGUAGGUGGUUUGUCGCGUUGUUCGUGAAAACUCACAGCUUAACUGUGGGCGUGCGGGCGAUACGGGCAGACUUGAGUACUGCAGGGGAGACUGGGAAUUCCUGGUGUAGCGGUGGAAUGCGCAGAUAUCAGGAGGAACACCGGUGGCGAAGGCGGGUCUCUGGGCAGUAACUGACGCUGAGGAGCGAAAGCGUGGGGAGCGAACAGG
rnacentral:rRNA from 1 species